rnacentral:rRNA from 1 species
AGCGGCGAACGGGUGAGUAACGCGUAGGAAUCUACCUAGUAGAAGGGGAUAGCCCGAGGAAACUCGGAUUAAUACCGUAUACGUCCUUAGGGAGAAAGAGGGCUUAGCUUUGAUGCUCUCGCUAUUAGAUGAGCCUGCGUAAGAUUAGCUUGUUGGUGAGGUAAAGGCUCACCAAGGCGACGAUCUUUAGCUGGUCUGAGAGGACGAUCAGCCACAUUGGGACUGAGACACGGCCCAGACUCCUACGGGAGGCAGCAGUGGGGAAUAUUGGACAAUGGGCGCAAGCCUGAUCCAGCCAUACCGCGUGUGUGAAGAAGGCCUUCGGGUUGUAAAGCACUUUAAGUAAGGAAGAAAAGAGUAUUGUUAAUACCAAUACUCCGUAACAUUACUUACAGAAUAAGGACCGGCUAAUUCCGUGCCAGCAGCCGCGGUAAUACGGAAGGUCCAAGCGUUAAUCGGAAUUACUGGGCGUAAAGCGCGCGUAGGUGGUUUAUUAAGUUGGGUGUGAAAGCCCCGGGCUCAACCUGGGAACUGCAUCCAAAACUGAUUCACUAGAGUACGAAAGAGGAAAGUAGAAUUCACAGUGUAGCGGUGGAAUGCGUAGAUAUUGUGAAGAAUACCGAUGGCGAAGGCAGCUUUCUGGUUCUGUACUGACACUGAGGUGCGAAAGCGUGGGUAGCGAACAGGAUUAGAUACCCUGGUAGUCCACGCCGNUAACGAUGACAACUAGCUGUUGGGAAGCUAUGCUUUUCAGUGGCGCAGCUAACGUCUUAAGUUGUCCGCCUGGGGAGUAC